UUGAACGCUGGCGGCAUGCUUUACACAUGCAAGUCGCACGGUAACAGGCCGCAAGGUGCUGACGAGUGGCGAACGGGUGAGUAAUGCAUCGGAACGUGCCCAGUCGUGGGGGAUAACUACUCGAAAGAGUAGCUAAUACCGCAUACGAUCUAUGGAUGAAAGCGGGGGACCGUAAGGCCUCGCGCGAUUGGAGCGGCCGAUGUCAGAUUAGGUAGUUGGUGGGGUAAAGGCUCACCAAGCCAACGAUCUGUAGCUGGUCUGAGAGGACGACCAGCCACACUGGGACUGAGACACGGCCCAGACUCCUACGGGAGGCAGCAGUGGGGAAUUUUGGACAAAGGGCGCAAGCCUGAUCCAGCAAUGCCGCGUGCAGGAAGAAGGCCUUCGGGUUGUAAACUGCUUUUGUACGGAACGAAACGGCUCUGGUUAAUACCCGGGGCUAAUGACGGUACCGUAAGAAUAAGCACCGGCUAACUACGUG
rnacentral:rRNA from 1 species